CUUUGGGUUCCCUUCCAGAGCAGUGAAGAAAGCCAGAGUCGAUGUGACCAGGUUAAACUUGCCAGAGGCCAGGGUGCCUGGUCUGUGCCCUCUUCCUGCUGGCUGCCCCUGCACACCUGGCCCACUUCCAGCCUGUCUAAGUGUCUCCCCCUUAGCCCCGUUCUGGCCACUGGCAUCCCGAGUACACUUCCAGGUCUACCGACCAGGCCAGAGUCUUCAGGGGGUGCUUUCCUGGUGACUUCAGCCAUCUUCCAUGACUGAGUAUUGCUGUCAGGAAAAUCCACCCCAUUGACAAUGGAAGGAGAACCUCUCUCCCUUCACCCCCUUUCCCAUGUCCUCACUACUUGGAAUAGCUACAGCCCCCAAGCACUUCAACAUCAAAAACAUGUGUUCUGUGUUGACAUCUUUUCCUUGUUCUCCUGACACCAAAUUCAGUCAGAUCCAAAUCCUUGAAAUGUCGCUCAAAUCCGCGCAGUGUUCAAUGACUGUUGAGUCUCGGAGGCCAAAAGCAAGAGGAAGGGGGUUCUAGGCAAGGGAUCUGCAAAUGCUGAGGCAGGGGCUGCAGACCAGCCAUAGUUGGGCACUGGGAUUCUGCUCCUGGAUUUGUAGCGUGUUACUGAGCGCCGCUGAUCUGGGAGCUGGGACGGCUGCUCUCUAGGCCUCUUCAUGGAGAACAUGUAUGUUAGUUGGAUAAAAUAAUAGCAGCCCGACCGCGCCCGUGAACUCUGCGGACCACACCCUGCACGUCCUCUUCUUGGAGCCAGGCUUGUGCUGGUGGGAAAUGACACAGUAUCUUCAAAUGCAAAAGCCCAUGCGUGACAACCAAAGAUCUAAGAAGUCCCAUGAACCCGGAAAUCUUUACUAUGUGCCUGUUACUCUGCUUCCAAUGGAAUAUUUCAAUAUUUAAGAGCUUUUGAUGGAAGCUACCAGCCUUCCAACAAAUCACGCUGAAAGCAGCCUCCGCAGGGAGAUGAAGCAGGAAGAUGGCUUUUCUGCAGGGCUCGGACCCCUGGGCCUCCCUCUGCUCGGCUUUCCAGCGAGGAAGGUGGUACCUGGGACGAUUAUGAGACAAACAGCAAUCAGACCUGCUUCCUCCAUUCGGCCCCACUGGCUCACAAUCACCCGGAUGGUAUUUCACUGGAUCCUCCAGGUCACCCUCUGCGUUUUGUAGCCCUCAUUAUUAUUAUUCCUGCUUUUACUGAUGAGCAAACCCGUUCUCAGUGAGGUCAAGCGACACGCUGCAAGUCACACAGCAGAUAUGGGGCGUCACGGGAGUGCACAGGUGUGAGUGGAGGCCCAAGGCCUCUGCUGACCGACACCCGGGUUUUACGACUUUCCUAAUAACACUCAGGGUGGGGGGGGGGCGGUUGCUGGUUGACAUUUUAGCAUCUUAUGAUGAAAAACAGGAAUUUCAGACAACAUUCUGCAUCUCAGUUUUUUCAGAUAACUUUUGGAUGUAUAGGUAAAUAUCUUAUGCUUGGCCGGCGGGAUUCAGUAAAAUAUGUGCUGAAAUGUCCUCUUGACAGAAAGGUACGAUGAGGGGCACGUGGGUGGUUCAGUGGUUGAGCGUCUGCCUUCAGCUCAGGGUGUGAUCCUGGGGUCCUGGGAUCGAGUCCCACAUCAAGCUCCCCAUAGGGAGCCUGCUUCUCUCUCUGCCUAUGU